rnacentral:rRNA from 1 species
UGGUAAUGCCGGAUGUUCCACAUGAUCGCAUGUGAUUGUGGGAAAGAUUCUAUCGGCGUGGGAUGGGGUCGCGUCCUAUCAGCUUGUUGGUGAGGUAACGGCUCACCAAGGCUUCGACGGGUAGCCGGCCUGAGAGGGCGACCGGCCACAUUGGGACUGAGAUACGGCCCAGACUCCUACGGGAGGCAGCAGUGGGGAAUAUUGCACAAUGGGCGCAAGCCUGAUGCAGCGACGCCGCGUGAGGGAUGGAGGCCUUCGGGUUGUAAACCUCUUUUGUUUGGGAGCAAGCCUUCGGGUGAGUGUACCUUUCGAAUAAGCGCCGGCUAACUACGUGCCAGCAGCCGCGGUAAUACGUAGGGCGCAAGCGUUAUCCGGAUUUAUUGGGCGUAAAGGGCUCGUAGGCGGCUCGUCGCGUCCGGUGUGAAAGUCCAUCGCUUAACGGUGGAUCUGCGCCGGGUACGGGCGGGCUGGAGUGCGGUAGGGGAGACUGGAAUUCCCGGUGUAACGGUGGAAUGUGUAGAUAUCGGAAAAGAAACACCA